rnacentral:rRNA from 1 species
UACGUAGGGGGCAAGCGUUGUCCGGAUUUACUGGGCGUAAAGCGCCUGUAGGCGGAAGUUUAAGCGGUACCUGAAAGCCCCCGGCUCAACCGGGGAGGGCGGCGCCGAACUGGGCUUCUUGAGGGCGAUAGAGGAAGGUGGAAUUCCGGGUGUAGCGGUGAAAUGCGUAGAGAUCCGGAGGAACACCAGUGGCGAAGGCGGCUCUCUGGACCAGCACUGACACUGAGGCACGAAAGCGUGGGGAGCAAACAGGAUUAGAUGACCCAGUA